ensembl:lncRNA
GUUUUAAUGAACAGUCUCGGUUUAUACCUGUAUAUAUCCGGAGGAUGUUAAAUGAUUAAAUGUUUAAUUUUUAAUUAUUACAUCUUUCGUAAAUUUGUUAUAGUCUUGGAUUUAGGUGUUUGUAUAAUCCUGGCCACUGCCGUGCGUGACGUGUCAGAUUCCGGACAUUUUUUUCGCGACAAAGAGGCAAGUCUGGUCUGGACGAAGAAAGUUUUUUUACGGCUAAAGAGGAGUGAGGAAGUCGCGCACCUCGCUAAAGGAUUUAUUGCCAAAUUCCAUCCAUAUAAACAAGGAUGUCCACCAGGGGCCGCGUCAGGCCAGAUGAAAGUCUGAUGAUGAUGCAGGAACUUGACGACAGGCUGAAAGAGCAGAUUGACAAAUUGGAACAUGUUCGACUUGCUGCUGUUGAACUGAAAGACAGCUUGUCUGGGAGCAACAAUAAUCUAACCCAGUCUAUUAGUGACCAUAUGGAAUGGUUGAAUCACUUGUCAGACCGAGUGGAGACUCUUCACAUGAACACUACUGUUUUUGUUCAGAUGAAUCCAAAACCUCGUGCAUGGACAGGGAAAAUGGGUUCCAAAUAUGGCUACCACUGGGGACGUCUCCAUCAGGCAGAUGAUGCCCUGUCAGAAAUUGGUUGGUCGCCUGUUCGUACACGACGCAACAGUGAUGCUGCCUCUGAAAUGUCUUGUAACUGGUGA